GUUGAAACACAGGUUCCCGUACGAUCAUCAAAGUUAAGCAACGUUGAGCCUGGCUAGUAGAUAAAUGGCUGACCUCUUGGGAAUAACAGGUAUUGUGA